CUUCUACUCUCUCCGUCCCAUAUUAAGUGACGAAAUAUUACAUGUAUUUAAACGUUUUUUGAUAUAGAUGCAUUCAUAUUUAGACAAAUUUGAAUUAUUUAAUAUGGGACGGAGGGAGUAUAUC
rnacentral:pre_miRNA from 1 species